rnacentral:rRNA from 1 species
AUGAACGCUAGCGACAGGCCUAACACAUGCAAGUCGAGGGGCAGCACAAGGAGCAAUCUGAGGUGGCGACUGGCGCACGGGUGAGUAACACGUAUGCAACCUGCCUGUAAGCGGGGAAUAACCCGUUGAAAGACGGACUAAUACCGCAUAAUACUAGAUUACUGCAUGGUAAUUUAUUUAAACAUUUAUGGCUUACAGAUGGGCAUGCGCAUGAUUAGCUAGUUGGAGAGGUAACGGCUCCCCAAGGCAACGAUCAUUAGGGGUUCUGAGAGGAAGGUCCCCCACACUGGUACUGAGACACGGACCAGACUCCUACGGGAGGCAGCAGUGAGGAAUAUUGGUCAAUGGACGAGAGUCUGAACCAGCCAAGUCGCGUGCAGGAAGAAUGUCCCUAUGGAUUGUAAACUGCUUUUGCAGGGGAAUAAAGUGCAUCACGUGUGAUGUUUUGUAUGUACUCUGCGAAUAAGGAUCGGCUAACUCCGUGCCAGCAGCCGC